rnacentral:rRNA from 1 species
UACGUAGGGUGCGAGCGUUAAUCGGAAUUAUUGGGCGUAAAGGGCGCGUAGGCGGCUUGGCAAGUGGAUGGUGAAAUCCCUCGGCUUAACCGAGGAACUGCCAUCCAGACUGCUUUGCUUGAGGCCGGGAGAGGUGAGUGGAAUUCCCAGUGUAGCGGUGAAAUGCGUAGAUAUUGGGAGGAACACCAGUGGCGAAGGCGGCUCACUGGACCGGUUCUGACGCUGAUGCGCGAAAGCGUGGGGAGCAAACGGGG